GUCGGGACAGUACCUAUUUAGGGAAACGUGAGACAGUACCCUAUUCUUGGGGGAGUAGUGGGUGAGGUUAUGAAUUGGGUUGAAUAUAUUUGUGAAGCAGAGAAACCUAGGGGGAAGAGGAUACCCAAUCUUAAUAUUAUGAUAUAUCAGGUAUGUAAAAUGAUUGAUGUAAAUGUAGAUGAGUCUUUACUUAAGAUUCCUAAGGGGAAGGUCCCUCACGAUCGGUGUAGGAAAUUGUUUCAGAAGCUGGGUUUGAAGUAUACUGAAUAAUUCUAAUGUCUUUUACCAGUCAUUAAAAUUGAAGUAUUAGUUUUAGGGUAACGAUAGCAAGGAGAACCUCAACCGUUAUUGGAAUUAGCAGGAGGCUGAUCAGACACAACCAUACUAGUUUCCGUGGUAUUCUCAUCAUUUUGUUUAUCGUAUUUCUUUACGGUUGUGCUGGCAUAACCGAUUUGGGUAUGUGCGCUCAUUGUGAUGUCACCCCGUUCGAUACCGAUACCCAGGUUAAACAUUUUCCUCCUUUUAUGAUUUUUGUUAUACUUUAUUCUGUUCUCGGUUUCGGGUUUUGAGGACAGGCAUCCCAUUUUAUUUCUUAGCCUUAUGUUUUAUGGGUUUGGGUUUAGGUUUAGGUUCUGGUUUGGGUUCCGGACAACAUUUACCCUUCUUCAUGUAUUUGUAGUUCUUUACGCUGGAACUGUUAAAUUCGACCCUUGCAUCUGCACCGAAGGUUAGACUUCCCUUACCCACCUUAACACCAACGUUUGCUUCCUUAUUUUUCUUUUGCUCUUUGACGAUUUUUUCCUUUUUAUCUCCGCUACUCAUUUUUAUUUAACCGGAAAAUAAAAAUGCCAUUCAACAUGAUUAUUGUAGGUAUGACAGCCUGUGGGAAGACGCAUUACCUCGUUCGGGAGUUAAAGACGACGUUUUCCCGUCAAUUUGAAAAUAUAUUUCUGAUCUGUCCUACCUAUCACUGG